rnacentral:rRNA from 1 species
GGGUUGUGAGGUUAAGCGACUAAGCGUACACGGUGGAUGCCCUGGCAGUCAGAGGCGAUGAAGGGCGUGCUAAUCUGCGAUAAGCGCCGGUAAGGUGAUAUGAACCGUUAUAACCGGCGAUACCCGAAUGGGGAAACCCAGUGUGAUUCGUCACACUAUCAUUAACUGAAUCCAUAGGUUAAUGAGGCGAACCGGGGGAACUGAAACAUCUAAGUACCCCGAGGAAAAGAAAUCAACCGAGAUUCCCCCAGUAGCGGCGAGCGAACGGGGAGGAGCCCAGAGCCUGAAUCAGCAUGUGUGUUAGUGGAAGCGUCUGGAAAGGCGCGCGAUACAGGGUGACAGCCCCGUACACAAAAGCGCAUGUGCUGUGAGCUCGAUGAGUAGGGCGGGACACGUGGUAUCCUGUCUGAAUAUGGGGGGACCAUCCUCCAAGGCUAAAUACUCCUGACUGACCGAUAGUGAACCAGUACCGUGAGGGAAAGGCGAAAAGAACCCCGGCGAGGGGAGUGAAAAAGAACCUGAAACCGUGUACGUACAAGCAGUGGGAGCNNNNNNNNNNNNNNNNNNNNNNNGGGCGUUAAGUUGCAGGGUAUAGACCCGAAACCCGGUGAUCUAGCCAUGGGCAGGUUGAAGGUUGGGUAACACUAACUGGAGGACCGAACCGACUAAUGUUGAAAAAUUAGCGGAUGACCUGUGGCUGGGGGUGAAAGGCCAAUCAAACCGGGAGAUAGCUGGUUCUCCCCGAAAGCUAUUUAGGUAGCGCCUCGUGAAUUCAUCUCCGGGGGUAGAGCACUGUUUCGGCUAGGGGGCCAUCCCGGCUUACCAACCCGAUGCAAACUGCGAAUACCGGAGAAUGUUAUCACGGGAGACACACGGCGGGUGCUAACGUCCGUCGUGAAGAGGGAAACAACCCAGACCGCCAGCUAAGGUCCCAAAGUCAUGGUUAAGUGGGAAACGAUGUGGGAAGGCCCAGACAGCCAGGAUGUUGGCUUAGAAGCAGCCAUCAUUUAAAGAAAGCGUAAUAGCUCACUGGUCGAGUCGGCCUGCGCGGAAGAUGUAACGGGGCUAAACCAUGCACCGAAGCUGCGGCAGCGACACUGUGUGUUGUUGGGUAGGGGAGCGUUCUGUAAGCCUGUGAAGGUGUGUCGUGAGGCAUGCUGGAGGUAUCAGAAGUGCGAAUGCUGACAUAAGUAACGAUAAAGCGGGUGAAAAGCCCGCUCGCCGGAAGACCAAGGGUUCCUGUCCAACGUUAAUCGGGGCAGGGUGAGUCGACCCCUAAGGCGAGGCCGAAAGGCGUAGUCGAUGGGAAACGGGUUAAUAUUCCCGUACUUGGUGUUACUGCGAAGGGGGGACGGAGAAGGCUAUGUUGGCCGGGCGACGGUUGUCCCGGUUUAAGCGUGUAGGUGUGUGUUCCAGGUAAAUCCGGUUCACUUUAACACUGAGGCGUGACGACGAGGCACUACGGUGCUGAAGCAACAAAUGCCCUGCUUCCAGGAAAAGCCUCUAAGCAUCAGGUAACAUCAAAUCGUACCCCAAACCGACACAGGUGGUCAGGUAGAGAAUACCAAGGCGCUUGAGAGAACUCGGGUGAAGGAACUAGGCAAAAUGGUGCCGUAACUUCGGGAGAAGGCACGCUGACACGUAGGUGAAGUGAUUUACUCAUGGAGCUGAAGUCAGUCGAAGAUACCAGCUGGCUGCAACUGUUUAUUAAAAACACAGCACUGUGCAAACACGAAAGUGGACGUAUACGGUGUGACGCCUGCCCGGUGCCGGAAGGUUAAUUGAUGGGGUCAGCGCAAGCGAAGCUCCUGAUCGAAGCCCCGGUAAACGGCGGCCGUAACUAUAACGGUCCUAAGGUAGCGAAAUUCCUUGUCGGGUAAGUUCCGACCUGCACGAAUGGCGUAAUGAUGGCCAGGCUGUCUCCACCCGAGACUCAGUGAAAUUGAACUCGCUGUGAAGAUGCAGUGUACCCGCGGCAAGACGGAAAGACCCCGUGAACCUUUACUAUAGCUUGACACUGAACAUUGAGCCUUGAUGUGUAGGAUAGGUGGGAGGCUUUGAAGUGUGGACGCCAGUCUGCAUGGAGCCGACCUUGAAAUACCACCCUUUAAUGUUUGAUGUUCUAACGUGGACCCGUUACCCGGGUUGCGGACAGUGUCUGGUGGGUAGUUUGACUGGGGCGGUCUCCUCCUAAAGAGUAACGGAGGAGCACGAAGGUUGGCUAAUCCUGGUCGGACAUCAGGAGGUUAGUGCAAUGGCAUAAGCCAGCUUGACUGCGAGCGUGACGGCGCGAGCAGGUGCGAAAGCAGGUCAUAGUGAUCCGGUGGUUCUGAAUGGAAGGGCCAUCGCUCAACGGAUAAAAGGUACUCCGGGGAUAACAGGCUGAUACCGCCCAAGAGUUCAUAUCGACGGCGGUGUUUGGCACCUCGAUGUCGGCUCAUCACAUCCUGGGGCUGAAGUAGGUCCCAAGGGUAUGGCUGUUCGCCAUUUAAAGUGGUACGCGAGCUGGGUUUAGAACGUCGUGAGACAGUUCGGUCCCUAUCUGCCGUGGGCGCUGGAGAACUGAGGGGGGCUGCUCCUAGUACGAGAGGACCGGAGUGGACGCAUCACUGGUGUUCGGGUUGUCAUGCCAAUGGCACUGCCCGGUAGCUAAAUGCGGAAGAGAUAAGUGCUGAAAGCAUCUAAGCACGAAACUUGCCCCGAGAUGAGUUCUCCCUGAGACUUAGAGUCUCCUGAAGGAACGUUGAAGACGACGACGUUGAUAGGCCGGGUGUGUAAGCGCAGCGAUGCGUUGAGCUAACCGGUACUAAUGAACCGUGAGGCUUAACCUUACAACGCCGAAG